rnacentral:rRNA from 1 species
AUUGAACGCUGGCGGCAGGCCUAACACAUGCAAGUCGAACGAGUGGCGGACGGGUGAGUAAUGUCUGGGAAACUGCCUGAUGGAGGGGGAUAACUACUGGCAACGGUAGCUAAUACCGCAUACCAUCGGAUGUGCCCUGAUGGGAUUAGCUAGUAGGUGGGGUAACGGCUCACCUAGGCGACGAUCCCUAGCUGGUCUGAGAGGAUGACCGGCAACACUGGACCGGAGACACGGUCCAGACUCCUACGGGAGGCAGCAGUGGGGAAUAUUGCACAAGGGGCGCAAGCCUGAUGCAGCCAUGCCGCGUGUAUGAAGAAGGCCUUCGGGUUGUAAAGUACUUUCAGCGGGGAGGCGUUACCCGCAGAAGAAGCACCGGCUAACUCCGUGCCAGCAGCCGCGGUAAUAC